CGGAGGGUGCAAGCGUUAUCCGGAUUCACUGGGUUUAAAGGGUGCGUAGGUGGGUUGGUAAGUCAGUGGUGAAAUCUCCGUGCUUAACAUGGAAACUGCCAUUGAUACUACUGGUCUUGAAUUUUCUGGAGGUAAGCGGAAUAUGUCAUGUAGCGGUGAAAUGCUUAGAUAUGACAUAGAACACCAAUUGCGAAGGCAGCUUGCUACAGGGAUAUUGACACUGAGGCACGAAAGCGUGGGGAUCAAACAGGAUUAGAUACCCUGGUAGUCCACGCCCUAAACGAUGGAUACUCGACAUUUGUGAUACACAAUAAGUGUCUGAGCGAAAGCAUUAAGUAUCCCACCUGGGAAGUACGACCGCAAGGUUG
rnacentral:rRNA from 1 species